AUUAAUUCGUUAUGUGUGCCGUAAAAAACCGACAAAAUUAAAAAAAAAAAAAUUAAAAAAAAAAAUUAAAAAAAAAAUAGCGCAAGA
rnacentral:rRNA from 12 species